CCUAACUGUUUUCUCUUCUUUUCAGCUGGCGCACGACAUGUUGGUGCUGGAGAGUGAUUAUCGGAAGAUUGCAAACUUCCAUCGAAUGUGGAGCGAUAAGGUUUCGAUCACGAACGAUGAGAGAGCUGUUGCCAUUGAAUAGCUCCAGACGGUAACUAAAAGAGAGAAGAUAGCGGUUGAGUAGAAGAAAGAGCUUCAAGAAGAAAUCUCCUAUGCUAAGGUCGAGUUGGAGUCGAUCAGAGCCGAAUUGGAGUCAGCUCAACAAAACAUCAAGUCUCUAGAAUCUC
rnacentral:lncRNA from 1 species